CCUACGGGAGGCAGCAGUGGGGAAUAUUGCGCAAUGGGCGAAAGCCUGACGCAGCGACGCCGCGUGAGGGAUGAAGGUCUUCGGAGCGUAAACCUCUGUCAGCAGGGAAGAACGGUCACUGUGCUAAUCCGCAGUGAAUUGACGGUACCUGCAAAGGAAGCACAGGCUAACUCCGUGCCAGCAGCCGCGGUAAUAUGGAGGGUGCGAGCGUUACUCGGAGUUAAUGGGCGUAAAGCGUGCGUAGGAGGUAUGUCACGUCAAGGGUGAAAUCCCCGGGCUCAACGGGGGAACUGCCUUUGAAACUGGAAGACUGGAGUGUGUGUGAGGAUGGUGGAAUGCAAGGUGUAGGAGUGAAAUGCGUAGAGAUCUGGAGGAACAGCAGUGGCGAAGGCGACUAUCUGACAUAUAACUGACGCUGAGGAGCGAAAGCGUGGGUAGCAAACAGGAUUAGAUACCCCAGUAGUC
rnacentral:rRNA from 1 species